GGAAAGUGUCCAACAUGCUGUCGGCGUUUCCGACCCGCCUGGCUCAAUCGCUGGGGGCAGAGGUCGACGGACCUCAGAGAGCAAAGGUAUCCGGGCAGAGCCUGACGCAGAGUGUGUGUGUAUGUGUGUGUGUGCUUCCAGAUCGGCCACAGGUCUCAGAGUGUGUGUGUAUGUGUGUGUGUGCUUCCAGAUUGGCCACAGGUCUCAGAGUGUGUGUGUGUGUGGGGUUUGCAUGAGUGUGUCUCUUGGAAUGCAUUUAUAUUACUUGUUGUAUAAUAGUACAAUAGUGUGUGUGUGUGUGUGUGUGUGUGCACACCUUUUUGUGUGUGCAUAUGUGAGUGAAGGCGUGCAUGUGCACGUCCAUUUAAAAUGACUGACCUGUCACUUGACCCCCCCUCCAAAUGUCUGGGGGCAAGCACCACAACAUUUAUCUUCAGUGGUUCUCGCUGAGCACUUUGACCUCUGAGGCGCGUGGCAGACAGGCGAUGUGUGUUUAACCUGCCCUGCCCGCAGCGUCGGCAGAGAGAAACCGAAUCGAAAGAAGUGAUUACAAUGUGACCUUCUCUGGCAGCUGAGUGUGCUGAGAUCCUAUCUGUUAUUUUUCCGUGCGAGUCAUCGUAAGUCAAAGUUUACAGAUGGAGAAGCAUUGUUUAUGGCUUCUGCCCCCGUAAAGUUACAUAUCUGUCAGCCCUGAGCCCACACAUCAUUUAUAACAUUUUCCGUAUGCUAUCGCAGUAAACAUCUUGGUGCGUGGUUUUAUCGUGUUCAAUGUUCUCUGAGGUAUUGAUAACGUUGAACUCAGCGUUCGGAAAAUAAUUAAACAAUUCAAAUUAGAUUUUGACUUCUGCUUGAUUUUGCAAGCCAUAAAUAAGACGGUUCCAGAUAAAGUUGCAUACCAGGUGUUGUGCAAUCCAAGGGGGAGGCUGGAGAGUGUUGGGUUAGCAGAGCACAUGGGCCUUGGUGUGGUGGGUUCUGUGUUUGUCUUCAAUUAUUAUAAUAAUCUUUGAUAGUAGUUAGCGUUAGUAUGCUGAGGCUCAACCAUCCUCAUAAUAAUCGCUCUGCGCUACAAUGAGAACCCGAGGCAUCUGUUCCCCUCCUGAUCUAAGUCAUAACCGCUGAGUUCCGUGUUUAGCGGAGUGCUGAUGCAAAUAGCCUCCGUCUACGUUAGCGCCCAGUGUCACUUCCCUCGCUCACUACAAACCCAGUCAGGCUGCACGGCCCUCUUAGACAACGUACACACGUG
ensembl:lncRNA